AUUCAGCUGUCCCGUGAUCUUUAGUAAGCACUAGUUAUGGAUGAGGACACUGACGAGGUACAGACUGGGGCCCAUAACCUUCAACAGAUCCAGCGACAGAUCCACGAGCUGGUGGAUGUACUGGACAGUAACGUACAGUUGUUGAUGAAUCGCCACGGCAAUGUAGAGGAACUGGAGAAACUGUCAGAGCAGCUGAAGGAGAAGCACAGAUAAACGACACGAUGAGGAGCGACAUAGACGCCUUCACCAUUUUGUAUGGUUCCAUUUUCAGGCCGGUGAAUUUCAAGUUAUCACAAGGAGAAUGAAAUACAAGCAAGUGGUCCGGAACAAUAGGUGGGCCCUGAGUAUUGGGCUGGUGGUGCUGGUGGUGGUGCUCAUAUUGGCCGGUGUCAUCAUCUCGGUGGUGUAUAACGAUCGUAAUUAAGGUCGUGCCCAAUUUUAAAGUACAUGUUUAUUGAUCUCCUUUAGAAGAAGAGUUCUGUAAAAAAGUUACAGGAAAAUACUCAAAUGCUCAAAUACUCAGAGGAUUUAAAAGCUUAAAUAUAAAUUUCUUUACUUAAUGAUAGUUUAUAGCUAAACAAAUCACACCGAAAAGUUUAAGGUAGAUCUGCGGAGUAAUAUGUUGACCACUCAGCCUCCUGAAGGAACCCAAUCUGAAGCCAGUGUCCGCACGGUCAGUUACCGUGUACCAUCUACAAUGUACAUGCAAUUAUAUACUAUAUUUGAAAGAGUUAUUAUCUCUUUUGGUUAACGUCAACCAAUAAUCUGUUAUCCCUUCUUCAUGAAUGUACAUGUACCAAUUAUUGUCAUCUAUUAUUUAUAUUGUAAUUUGUACAUAAUGUUUAUAAGUAUUUUCAAUACAUUGUAAAUUCAGUUGUGAGAAUAAAGUUCAAGUGUCAUUGCAUACUGUGUAUGUGUAAGAGAUUUUAUGUUUGUGUUUUGUUGUAUUUUUAACCAUUUAACGGUACAUUUAUGUAGAUGAGAUGAUAAUGUCUACAAUUUGUAACUCAAAAGGAUUACAGAUGUGCAACUGAUUAUAUUUAUAAAUGGACAUACUCUUAUUUAAUUCCAUUAUCAUUUUUCGAUAUUUUUUUUUCGAUACUGUAUUGGGCAUUAAUGUUUAGAGAUUGCGUUGUAUUUUUUUUAUGUAAAUACCUCCACAGUUUAUGUCAUGAUUUGAAUCUCACCAAAAGUAUAUUAACUUUGUACGUAACUAUGAAAUACAGAUAUUACUCUAUUUAAAGUUACAUGCACCUGAGUAGCUUACUUAUUUUAAUUUAUGCAUGUAAUCAAAUAAAUUCUUAUAUCAUU
rnacentral:misc_RNA from 1 species